UAAAAAAAUUUUUAAAUAUAUUUAAUGGGGGUUAAAGUAUAUUUAUAGAAAAAAUUAAUUAAUUUAUAGUAAAUUAGUAUUGUAAAAUAAAUUUGAAAUAAGUGAAAAAAAAAUUUUAUAAAAGUAAUUUUAAUUUAAUGUAUCUUGUGUAUCAGAGUUUAUUAAAAAAUAUUUUUAAAAAAAAAUUCUCGAAUUUAAAAGAGAUAAUUAAUUAAAAAAUUUAUUGUAGCAAAAAUAUUUUAAAUAAUUAAUUUGAAAUGAAAUGUUAAUCGUUUUUAAAUAUAUCUAGUUUUUUUAGAAAAAAAUUAAAUUUUAUAUUUUUUUUUUUAGAAAAAAUUAAUUAAUUAAUUUUUUCUAAAAAAAAUAUUAUAUUUUAAGGGAUAAGCUUUAAAAUAAAUUUAUAUAAUAAUAAAUUUUUAUUUUGAAAAUUAUAUAAUUUAUAUUGUUAAAAAAUUAUAAUUUAUUAUAAAUAAUUUCAUUUAAAAUAAAAUUUUUUAAAAAUUUAUUUUUUUUUAUAAAAAAAUAUUUUAAAAUAAAAAAAAAAUAAUUAUAAUGAUAAAAUUAGUAUAUAAAUAAAAUUUUAUUAAAAUUAUUUUAUAAAAAUUAAUAAAAAGGAAUUCGGCAAAAAUUUAUAUUCACUUGUUUAUCAAAAACAUGUCUUUUUGAAUUUAAUAUAAAGUCUGAUCUGCCCACUGAUGAAAAAUUAAAGGGCUGCAGUAUUUUGACUGUACAAAGGUAGCAUAAUCAAUAGUCAUUUAAUUGAUGACUUGUAUGAAAGAUUGGAUGAAAUAUAAACUGUCUCUUAAUUAAAUUAUAGAAUUUAAUUUUUUUAUUAAAAAGUUAAAAUAUUUUAAAAAGACGAGAAGACCCUAUAGAGUUUUAUGAAUAAUUUAAUUAAAAUUAUUUAUAAAUUUAAUAAUUAAAAUUAUUUUAUUUAUUUUGUUGGGGUGACAAAAAAAUAUAAAAAACUUUUUUUAAAAUUAAACAUAUAUAAAUGAUUAAAUGAUCCAAUUUUAUUGAUUAUAAGAAAAAAUUACCUUAGGGAUAACAGCGUAAUUUUUUUUUUUAGUUCAUAUAAAAAAAAGAGUUUGCGACCUCGAUGUUGGAUUAAGAUAAAAUUUAAAUGCAGAAGUUUAAAAUUUUUGAUCUGUUCGAUCAUUAAAAUCUUACAUGAUCUGAGUUCAAACCGGUGUAAGCCAGGUUGGUUUCUAUCUUUUAAAAUUUAUAAUAUUUUAGUACGAAAGGAUUAAAUAUUAAAAUUAAAUUUAUAUAAUGAAUAUUAUUAAUAAAAAU
rnacentral:rRNA from 1 species